ACUUCUGUGUCUUUGUAAGAAUUAUCCUUACCUCAUGAGGUAAUAUCUUGCAUGGAGCCCCAGGCCGAGGAAGACUGACAGUCAUCUUGUGUUUCUUCCAUUUUCUAAUAAUUAUGCCAACAGUUGUUACCUUCUC